AUCACUUCUUGGCCUUUUGGCUAAGAUCAAAUGUAUUAUCUGUUCUUAUCAGCUUAAUAUCUGAUACAUCCUCUAUCAGACAACAAUAUUUUAAGUGGAUUUUUGGAAAUAGGAGAGGGAAUAGAAGCUUACUCUAUGAACUCCACACAUGGACCUAGUAUUAUAGUGUCUCCAGGAAAGGAACACCCCCU
ensembl:snRNA U2 U2 spliceosomal RNA